rnacentral:sRNA from 1 species
AAACUUCCACAUUUCUUCCCUAAUGAAUUGACUCCUUGACUUUAUCGGACCACUCUGAUGCCUUUAUUGUGGACAUUCUAUUAGUGUCACAAGCACUUUUGAUUUACAAGAAAGGGCAGUGUUCAUAAAAUUCUUCCCUGAGGAGUCUUCCUUUAAAAAACUUUCCAGGAAUGUGCAUUGAACAAUUGGUCAAUUAAGGAACAUAUAGAGGGACUGAAAACAAUUACCUGAGAGUGGAUUGAAGCUUGAAAACAAUUCAUCCAUACACGCAGGUCAAUGAGAUGAGACAGACAAAAUACCUGAAUUAACUUACAACAUACCGAUGCAAAUUCAUUAUACAAAUUGAAAUUUUAAUAUUCUUGCCAUGAAUGUCAGCGUUCCACAAGUAUUCAGAAAACUCGCAUUGUGAUGAUGCCUUGCUAAUGUAAUAUCAAGGGUUAAAACCUUUGUCAAUACAUUAUAAUGACAGCCUUUGCUUCAUCUCUCUUCCAAAAAACAUCUUUCAUUGUGAACUGAUCCAUUACCCUGCACCUAAUAAAUCUACACCAAAGAUGUAUUUAUGGCAGUGCGACUGGUAACAGAAAAGGAAGCAUCAUUAUCUGAAGUCACCUCUGACACCAUUAAGGGGAUGUUCCUGAACACAAGGCACCUCAAUUCACCUCUUGUUACCUCGAUUCACCUCUUAAUGAGAGACUGAUACACCUACUACCAAACACUGCACCUCCUCUGCAAUUAGCAAUGUAAUUGAGAGGCAUAACAUUGAAUAAAGGUCAACUCUUAUUGUAAUUAGUGUUUCCAUGUCCUUAUAAACAAUAUCAUAAAAUAUAUCUAUAGUGCAACUUGACUAGACAGUGAACUGCCUUGUUCUUUUAUAUGUAAAAAUUUGAGACUUGUUUUAUUUUUGGACUUUUAUCACUUUUGUUAAUGAUUCUUCUAAAUAUGUAAAAGGUAUAUUUGAUGAGCAUUAAUUUCAAGGAACCAAUUUUUUAUGUGCCAUUUAUAGGAACUUCAAUUCCCGAUUCAUAAAUUACAGUUGUUUUUC